AAGUCGUAACAAGGUUUCCGUAGGUGAACCUGCGGAAGGAUCAUUAACACUUUCAUUUUAUUGAAAAAAUUCAUUUUUUUUUUUUCAAUGAUUUACUUUACCCACAUUUUUGGAUGAAUUAUUUCUUUUUUAAUUUUUUUAUAUCAUUUUUAUACCUCAAACAAAACUAAUAUACUAUUGUUUCUAACAUUUACACAAAAAAGUUUAAGAAAAAAACAUAAAAAACAACUCUUAACAACGGAUAUCUAGGCUCUC
rnacentral:misc_RNA from 1 species